rnacentral:pre_miRNA from 1 species
CCCCCACCCAUAUGUGUAGGACCCCAAAGGAUCACCAUUAAAGUUGGCACGGAUCUCUAGAAAAGUUGUCACAUGGGUGUGAGACUUGACUUUUUUAUAGAUCCGUGUCAAAUUUAAUGGUGAUCCUUUGGGGUCCAACACACAUGAGUGGGAG